rnacentral:rRNA from 1 species
UACGAAGGGGCUAGCGUUGCUCGGAAUUACUGGGCGUAAAGCGCACGUAGGCGGAUUGUUAAGUCGGGGUGAAAUCCUGGAGCUCAACUCCAGAACUGCCUUCGAUACUGGCGAUCUCGAGUUCGGGAGAGGUGAGUGGAACUGCGAGUGUAGAGGUGAAAUUCGUAGAUAUUCGCAAGAACACCGAGGCGGCAGAGGCGAAGCUCGCCUGCCCGCUGU